rnacentral:rRNA from 1 species
GGAAUAUUGCGCAAUGGGGGCAACCCUGACGCAGCAACGCCGCGUGGACGAUGAAGGCCUUCGGGUCGUAAAGUCCUUUUCUGAGGAAAGAUAAUGACGGUACCUCAGGAAUAAGUCCCGGCUAACUACGUGCCAGCAGCCGCGGUAAAACGUAGGGGGCGAGCGUUAUCCGGAUUUAUUGGGCGUAAAGCGCACGUAGGCGGCAUUAUAAGUUGGAUGUGAAAGCUCCCGGCUCAACUGGGAGAGGCCGUUCAAUACUGUAAUGCUUGAGGUUAGAAGAGGAGAGUGGAAUUCCCGGUGUAGUGGUGGAAUGCGUAGAUAUCGGGAGGAACACCAGUGGCGAAGGCGACUCUCUGGUCUACACCUGACGCUGAGGUGCGAAAGCGUGGGUAGCGAACG